GAUGAACGCUGGCGGCGUGCCUAAUACAUGCAAGUCGAGCGAACGGACGAGAAGCUUGCUUCUCUGAUGUUAGCGGCGGACGGGUGAGUAACACGUGGAUAACCUACCUAUAAGACUGGGAUAACUUCGGGAAACCGGAGCUAAUACCGGAUAAUAUUUUGAACCGCAUGGUUCAAAAGUGAAAGACGGUCUUGCUGUCACUUAUAGAUGGAUCCGCGCUGCAUUAGCUAGUUGGUAAGGUAACGGCUUACCAAGGCAACGAUGCAUAGCCGACCUGAGAGGGUGAUCGGCCACACUGGAACUGAGACACGGUCCAGACUCCUACGGGAGGCAGCAGUAGGGAAUCUUCCGCGAUGGACGAAAGCCUGACGGAGCAACGCCGCGUGAGUGAUGAAGGUCUUCGGAUCGUAAAACUCUGUUAUUAGGGAAUAACAUAUGUGUAAGUAACUGUGCACAUCUUGACGGUACCUGAUCAGAAAGCCACGGCUAACUACGUG
rnacentral:rRNA from 1 species